UGGACAGGUAUCAGACUUACCAAAUCUCCCUGCUCCAUAGAGCUCGGGGCAGGUACUGCAUUACUGAGGGGACCAUCAAACCACCCAAGGACCUCGGGUAUGUUAAUGCAGUGACACGGCUCCCAGAGGCGGGGACCUGCCGCACAACGCUGGGGACCAGAAGGCCCUGAGCUCUCCGGACUGAAGCCCCGGGGGAGGAACGGCUGCCAGGGCCUCCGAGCCCCGACAACGGGGCUGAGCCACGAGCAGGCGAAGCGGCCGGGGGAGCCCGAGGCCGCUCCUCACGCCGCGGCUCCUGCAGCGAGGCCGGCGGCUCCCUCAGGCCCUCUCAGCGGGAAGCCCUAAGUUCUGCUCUGGAGAUGUCCGCCUCAGACUUAUCAAGUCAAGAAACAAGGGGGAAAAAAAGAGAAAGAAAAGCCCAACCACAAGGCACAAACUGAAACAGUUUCUAUAAUCCAAACAACUGGGAAAGCUCAACAGCAAGCAGAGCAACCUCUUUUCUCUCCAUGGCUGAGCUCUACAAGGUUACAGAAGGGUGCAGCUGAAGCAGCCUGACCUGCCCGCAGUGGGAAGGCGACUCUGGCCGCCUGCCUUCUCAAACACACAUUCAUCAGUAGAUGGUGCUGUUGUGUUGGUGAACUUCCGAAGGGACUACCUGGCUCUGGAUUUCUGGUUUUUCCUACCUCCCUGACUUUAUCGUGAGCUUUCUUUGAUGCCUUUCAUAAUAAAGCCUAUCACUCAACAGGA